GUGUUUCAGCACCGACUAUGUGGUCACCGGGUAUCAUGCCUGAGAGCUAGUUCCGGGGUCCAGAAGUCAGAAUCAAGACAUCAGUAGGACCUUGUUCCUCCUGAAGACUCUAGGAGAAUCUCCUUCCUUGCUUCUUUCAGCUUCUAGUGACCCCAGGUAUCCUUUGGCUUUUGACUACGUAACUCCAAUCUCUGCCUCCAUCUUCACAUGGCCUUCUCUGUGUCUCUCUUCUCCUCCACUGCCUCUUUUUUAAAAAAUUAAUCAUAAUAAUUGUACACAUUUGGACGUACAUGUGAUAUUUUGAUACAUGCAUAUACUAUGUAGCAAUCAAAUCAGGGCAAUUGGGGUAUCCAUCACCUAAAACAUUUAUCAUUUCUUCAUAUUGAGCACAUCCCAAAUCUUCUCUUCUAGAUAUUUUUAACUAUACAAUAAAUUAUUGCUAACCAUAGUCACCUGACUGUGCUAACACUAGAGCCUAUUUCUUCUCUAUAACCAUAAUUUUGUACCCAUUAACCAACCUCUCUUCAUCCCUCCUUCCCCCUACACUUUCCAGCCUGUGGUAGCCAUCAUUCUACUCUCUACCUCCAUGAGAUCAACUUUUAAAGCUCCCACGUAUGAGUGAGAACAUGCAAUAUUUGUCUUUCUGUACCUAGCUUUUUGCACUUCACAUAAUGAGCUCCAGGCUCAUCCAUGUUGCCAUGAACGACAGGGUUUUCUUUUUUGUGGCUGAAUAAUAUUCCAUCCUGUAUAUAUACCACUAUUCAUCAGUUGAUGGACACUUAGUUUGCUUCCACAUCUUGGCUAUUGUUCUGUCUCUUAUAAGGAUACAUUUUGAUGGAUUUAGAAGCUACUCAGGAAAUCCAGGUGAUCUUGUCUCAAAUUCCUUAACUUUAUUAGACCUGUAAAGACUCUUUCUCAAAUAAGGUCAUAUUCACAGAUUCUGGGGAUUAGGAUGUGGGCAUAUCUUUUGGGGACCAUCAUUCAAUCCAACACAGUAGUUUUCACUAUCACCAUUGCUACAUAAUUCAUGAGAUCAUUAUGCAAGUAUGAGGAGAAUGGGCGGGGAGGCUGACUGACAUCUAGAGAGUGAGUUAUCAUCUAUCCUGAACCUUAAGAGACUCUUGAUAAGCAUUCAAAUGGUACACUAAUAUUUUUCCACUCUGAGAGCAUUCAGAUGGAAAAAGAUAUCCACUACCCUCUACCAAAAUAUUCUUGUUACUUCUAAGCUUCUGACUACCUGCUCAAAUUAUUAAUCAUUACCCACUGGUCCACUGGUUUUUGUUAUUACUUAACUCAAUCUAUGACUUCUUCCAGGCAAAUUAGACAACAGGAUUACUUCUCUUUAGGACCAGCAUUGAAUUAAGAAGUACAAUCAUUUACCAUAAGUCCACCAGUGCUGGCCCCAGGAAAUCAGGAAGAAGCAUCUGUAAACCAAGAGCUAUCUAUCUAUCUACGUAUCUAUCCAUUUAUUGAUUUAUUUGGCAUCUCAGGCUACUAAUUAGUCACAGGAAUCCUUCCAUGAGGCCACUGGGGUUGAGAGAGAACAGCAGCGUAGCAGGAUGAUACCAGGAAGAUGAGAAUCCUCCUUGUGCAAUUUAACAUGUGCAUUUAAGAUUGGCUUGGAACCAUUCCUGUGCAUAUGUGUGUGUGUAUAUGUGCACGUGGAUGCAUGGGUAUGUGUGCAUUUCACUUGAGGGAGUACUGCUGUGGAUUCCUCACUUUAUUUUUUGGUGAAUGAGCUUGUGACUCAUUCAUAAUGGGAAAUUCAGAUCAUAAUGCCAGGUAUUUAGUCCUACCAAGGUCCAGUAGCAUUUCAAGAGUUGUUUCUCAAAAUAGGACUAGUUACUUACUGGAGAGGUCAUAACUUUGAUUUUUUAAAUGAUAUUAGAGGUCUUGACUGAGAAUUUACUACUGGAGCUCCAUAAAGCAUCCCAAUCUGCUACAAACUCUUCAAGCUUCAUUGGAUCCGCUGGAUCAAAUGGGCUGCCAGGUAGAGUUGAUUGCACUGCAGCCUGGACUGAUUGCCAGGAGCUCUGUUGAUAUGAGUUAGUGAGGAGACAACAUCUGGAACAGCAGCUGCACUUGGAGGCACCGCCUAAUUAAGCUUACGAUAAUCCACACUCAUUCUCCAAGACCCAUCUGUCUUCCCCAUCAAACUAAUUGGAGAGUUGAAUGGAGCUGCGAUAGAAAUGACCACAACCUACCAUUUCAGUCAUUGAUGGUAGCACUAAUCUCUCAGAUUCUAUGGGAAUAUCCUACUGCUCUUGGUUUUUCUUUUAGUAAGGAAGGUGAGAUCCAGGACUUCCAUCCUUGUUCUUUCCUUUCAUAAUAACUCUUAUUCCUGAGUUAAGAAGUAAAUGUGAGUAUUUAGCCAGUUGUCUAGAGUAUCUUUUCCAAGAACACACAGGAAAUGAAGGGAAAAAGAAGAGGAUGUGUCUGUAGGUCCCACUAUGCCUACAGUGAGAUGGGCUUGGGUCAAGACUCUAUCACCUGAACAUCAUACAUUUCUACUCUGACCAUUGAACCACAGUGCCAUUCUUCUAUAACAGACAUGUGUAAUUUGGGAGCCAUUAUCUUAAAACAACUGAAAGGUCUACUUAUAUUCUUUUCUUCAGAAUAUAUUUACACCAGAAAACGACCACAGGUCUAGAAAUAGAGUAAUGACUCUGUUUUUCCUUUGGUGAGCUUCAUCCUGAGACAUGGGGAUUUUAUGCAAAUUUAUUAGGAACUUUGUGAUUGCCCAUAUAUCUCAGAUCUAUAGACUCAAUGAUCAAUAAAUCAGUGUUAAAUAUCUAUGUGUCUCUAUUAGGGAAAGCACGAAUAAAUGGCCUCUGGAGGUUAAGUGCCUGACUUCUGCACCUGCCCUUCUCAAUCAUAGGAUCUUUCCAAUCUCCACUGUAAUCAGGCAGACUAUUUCAAUAUUAGUCCCUCCCAUCAAUAUCCCCAACUGACAAGAGAAGCCACAAUCACAUUUUUGUAGAUACUAGUAGUUCCCUCAUAAGUAUUUCUCAAGGCCUUAGUAAAAAUGGUCAUCUAUGUCUACUUAGGCAACAUAGUUAGGAAGUAGAUGAGAUUCAUGUUAUAAAUUCGGUCAUUUUAUUUCUUUCUAGGUACUAUUGUAAAUAAUUUAUGGCAUCUUAAUUUUCUUUAGCAUGAUCAAUAAUCUAUACAGCUUCCUGUAUUAAAAGUAGCUUGCCCUCUCUAUGAAUUCAGAUAAUUGCACUAUAUGAAAAAAAAAUAGACUAACCUAAGACUACAUUUAUUC
rnacentral:lncRNA from 1 species